CCUACGGGUGGCAGCAGUGAGGAAUAUUGGUCAAUGGGCGCUAGCCUGAACCAGCCAAGUAGCGUGAAGGAUGACUGCCCUAUGGGUUGUAAACCUCUUUUAUAUGGGAAUAAAGUGCAGUAUGUAUACCGCUUUGCAUGUACCUUAUGAAUAAGGAUCGGCUAACUCCGUGCCAGCAGCCGCGGUAAUACGGAGGAUCCGAGCGUUAGCCGGAUUUAUUGGGUUUAAAGGGAGCGUAGGCGGGUUGUUAAGUCAGUUGUGAAAGUUUGCGGCUCAACCGUAAAAUUGCAGUUGAUACUGGCAUCCUUGAGUACAGUAGAGGUAGGCGGAAUUCGUGGUGUAGCAGUGAAAUGCUUAGAUAUCACGAAGAACUCCGAUUGCGAAGGCAGCCUGCUGGACUGUAACUGACGCUGAUGCUCGAAAGUGUGGGUAUCGAACAGGAUUAGAUACCCUUGUAGUC
rnacentral:rRNA from 1 species